CCCCCCCCCCCCCAAAAAAAAAAAGCUGAUUUAAUUUCCUUUUUUCACUUUUUUAUGCCCCUUAUUUGCUUAAAUUUAACUCUUCUCUCCUUUUCUUUGUUCUUUCCUGUCUGAACACAUUCAGUGUAUUUUUAUCACUUUAUUUUAAUAGAAAUGCCCAAAAUAUUUCAAUUUAAUCUCGGACUAAAUGACUUUGUUAUGUGAUUAUUUUUGCAGUGAAAUGUACUGAACUGAUUUUAUGGCGGUGGACACGUGACGGCACUUUCUGCAGGUUCAGAGAAGUUUCUGAGAGAUUUUUUUUUUUUUUAAAGAAGUUUCAUAGAAGAAAAAUUAAAAGAUUUCUUUUUAAAGUCUGAUGAUAAACUGGAUGUGGAGAAGUUGAGGUCCAGCUGAAUGUGAAGGAAGGUUUUUACUCGACAGAGACGAGCAGCUUUUUCACCACGAAGAAAAACAGAAGAAAUAAAAACAAAACUAGAAAAGAUCAAAUCAGGAGAAGAAGAAUCGAUCCGGGAGGUUUUUACACUUUUUACAGUUAAAUAGUUUUUUAAGGUGAUUUAUUUCCUUUAAGAUGAAGCUGAUAUUUGUUUCAGACGCACCGUCAUGUUUAUUUUUUACACUUGAGUUUUUUCUUCUUUCUUUCUUUCUUUUUUUUUUUUUACAAGAAGGUCAAAAACAAAAUAUUGAGGUUUUAAAAAAAAAAGAAAAAUAAACUUCAUUAUUGGUUGAAAAUAUCAACGAAAUUCACUCGUAAGACUGACUUCAUCCUCUCCGCUUGUGUGUAUGUGUGUGUCUGUGUGUCUGUAUGUGUGUGUGUGUGUCUCAUCUUUGCCGUUAUGCAAUAAACUUAACAUGCAGUUCCAGACUCUGCCAGUAGGGGGAGCUGUUGACCAGCGAGGUAGAGUUUGUGUGUGUGUGUGUGUGUGUGUGUGUGUGUGCAGACUAGGGAUCAGUUAAAGGCCAUAUUUCAUAUUUUUCAUAUUUUUUAUUGAUGUCUGAUAUUAAUUGCUUUCACAUUAUUAUUAAUGGUUUAUUGUUUUAGGCUCCGGAGGAUAAAACGAGCGCUCUGCGUCUUUGCUUUGUAUUUGAAUAAUAAAUCUGACUAUUUGUUCUAUUCAUAUUUUUAUUUGUAAUAACCAGGGAAUGAUGCGUGUGUUGUAAAUAUUAAUAUGUUUUCAAACCAGAGGUGCUUCUGAAGCUAACAGGAGAGAUUUUUAAAGAGACUGUACCUUCACAUUAUUUUCCAGAAAAUAAACAAAUGAAACCUGGA